rnacentral:lncRNA from 1 species
AUGCCACGGGUGAGGCCCACUAGCAUGAAGCCUGCUUCUGGGUCUCGCUUUGGCCGAGAGAAAUUCCAGAUCGUUUACGUCAAUAGUUUUGGCCACCACCGCUCUGGCAAUGUGAUUCACUAUAGUGGCAGCAACAGCUGCCGCCACCUCAGGGAGCAAGAGGAAGUGGCUCUGACAAGCGCCCAGGCCUCCUGUCUCACAGCUGAGGCGCCCUCAGCCAUUUCUGACGGGACAGGUUCAGGAGACGCAGCAGCCCCUUCUCCUUCCUCAAAGGACCCACGGGGCCCACACUUGCUUCGAGCCACUUCGGCUAAGCAAGUGGAAGGUGCUUGUGAGAGGGGGGCGCUGAGCAAAGCAGGCCAGGCCAAGAGGUUCAAAGCCAGAAAGCUUCCUGAAGGCCGAAGGGCCAGGACAGAAGAAUUACUACCCUCUCUGAAUCAAGAGUGGAACAGGAAGAGAGGAGAUUUAAUUUUCCCAGCCUCCACUGGUCAAAAGUCUGCAGUGUGGUCUGGAGUAUAUAAAGUAAUUUCUAAGAUGGUAGAGGAAAACAGUCACUUUAGAGAUAGACUGAUAUCCUGUAGCCAGUUCUCAAGUGAAGGCAGAAAUACGAGUGAGAACAUACAAACUGGGGCUUCAUGCAUUGGCACAGAUGAAGCCAUUUUUGGAUGGGUAUAGGAAAUGAAGUAGCAAGGAAAUGAAGAUUUACUGUCACGUUACAAAUUAAUUUUGUUUUUAAAAAUUUGCAAUCCAGUGACCUUUGACCAUUCAAAAGGAACAGAUUGUUGACAUCAGAGAGACUGGAGUACAAAUUCCAUGCAAGUAAUGUGGAACAUACUUCUUUUUGCCUCUUUAGUGUAACGGCUUCAUUUUUGGUGCAAGUUUGAUGAAGUUGUAUAACCUGUUUAAAUCCUGGAUAAGCAAAUCACCAUUUUACUUUGUUGUUGUUUGUUUUAAAUCCUUGUACCAGGAUUUGAUAAUUUAUGAAUACAACACAAUAAAACAUGUUAAUGUUGAUUCUACA